AGUGCCUGUUACAUACAACAGAGAACGCGUCAUCAUACUGAUUUAGAAAUGACAGAGCUAUCUAUGCAAUAUAAAAAUCGUUUAGUUUAGGUUUCCUCUUGUAGUAACACUAGAUCAAUAUAAGAGAUGACCCUUAUUGGACCUCUAGGGAAAACAAAUUCCUGACAAAAAGAAGAAUACGUUCACAGCAAAUAUGAAUAUCAGAUUGAGAGAAUAAUAAGAUUCCAUCCUCGAGCGACUUCUUCUCAAGAAUAACUACAUUGAAAUAACACGAAUACCGUUGUGCAUUACACGUCGAAUACAUGCAGGAGCAAUAUUUUUGAAGAGUAUUAUUGCGUUGCAGUCGCACAAGGUGGUCAUGUCUGUGUUUCAUUUAUGACAAUGACACAGUUAAGCGCCAGGCAAACGAGAAUGAAAGUUAAUGAGACAUACAGAAGGAACAUGAAAAACAAGGAACAAGAAGCAGUCGAUUCUGCCUCCUUUUCAGAAUUUACUCUACCUGAUAAUGUAGAUGAACUGAGCCCUUGUAUUUCAAGAUAUUUUGGGAUGACA
rnacentral:lncRNA from 1 species